GUGAAGAAAUCAGACUGUAGGUUAAGGUUAGCGUAGGGCUCCAUGUUAAAGGUGAUGCUCUGUUUACCUGUCCAGGUCCCUACGCUGUCACUCCCUACGCUGCUCUGUGCUUCAGGAAAAAGACCUGCAUGGACUGAUUAACCGACUGCUAAGCUCUGUGACUUCUGGUUGACCUUGGCCAAUGUGGAGCACUGAUCAACAUGGAGCACUGGUCCCUACGCUGUCACUCCCUACGCUGCUCUGUGCUUCAGGAAAAAGACCUGCAUGGACUGAUUAACCGACUGCUAAGCUCUGUGACUUCUGGUUGACCUUGGCCAAUGUGGAGCACUGAUCAACAUGGAGCACUGGUCCCUACGCUGUCACUCCCUACGCUGCUCUGUGCUUCAGGAAAAAGACCUGCAUGGACUGAUUAACCGACUGCUAAGCUCUGUGACUUCUGGUUGACCUUGGCCAAUGUGGAGCACUGAUCAACAUGGAGCACUGGUAAGAGAUCGGAGGGUGAGAGGAACAUGAGAUGAGGGUGUCUUCCUGGCACCCAAUCUGCAGGGUUGCUGUGGGCAUCCAUAUGCCUUGAUGAAAGGUCCUGGUUCCUGUCAGGCAGCCAUCUCCACAAAGCUGUCUCUGCAUUCCAGUAACUGCCCUCCUCCCUGUACCUUCUAGCAUUAU